rnacentral:rRNA from 1 species
AGCAGCCGCGGUAAUUCCAGCUCCAAUAGCGUAUAUUAAAGUUGUUGCAGUUAAAAAGCUCGUAGUUGAAUUUCGGGAUUAAUAUGCUGGUCGUGCCAUUGGUACGUACUAGUAUUAUUGAUUUCUCCCUUCUGAUAAAUCAUGAUGUCAUUAAUUUGAUGUCAUGAGGAAUCAGGACUGUUACUUUGAAAAAUUGAGUGUUUAAAGCAGGCUCGCGCUUGAAUACAUUAGCAUGGAAUAAUGAAAUAGGACGUUUGAUUCUAUUUGUGUUUCUAGGAUUGACGUAAUGAUUAAUAGGAUAGUUGGGGCAUUAGUAUUCAAUUGU